UAAAACGAUUUUCCAACAGACUAAUCCGACAGAAACGGAACCUGUUCUGUUACUCACCUUGAUCUGCCAUGGGAGACCAACCCAAGGACUCUUCUGUUUCACAGGGCUCUGGCAAUUUCAGCCGGCUUUGCACGGAUAUUCCCAGAGGCGUCCCUCCCUCAGCAGCCCCCGCCUUGCAGGAUCCCAGCCGACUGGAGAUGAAAGGAGGGGAGAGAAUAAGAGUAGGAAGAAAAAAAGUAUUUCAUCAAAUACUGCUAUUCACCUCAGCAUGACUAACGUUCAGCUUCGAUGGAUGGUGGAGCCAGUUGUGAGACUUCCUCUCUGGGAGCUGGAUCAAGACAAGAGCACAUGCAAAUUGCUGAGAAGAGCAGCUACAGAUCCACAGAGGAUCAGCAAGCUAUCUGGAAGCUGCAGGACGGAGUGUGCGUUGCUGAAACAUCUGUGCUGCUCACAGCCGUGGGAGACAACUAGCAGGAGGGGAGAAACGAUGCUGGCAGAGGGCAAUCGCCCAGCGCUGAGAGCGACUGCAAGGGGGACACUUCCAGUCAACGGCAGCACAGCACAUGAGCAGAUUACGUGCUCCUCUACGUGCACGUAAACCUUCCAGUGAAUACUUAAUUUAACAACUUUAAGCCCAUGUGGCCACACUGGAGAGACCGGCACCGCAGCUGUCACUGCUUUGCCCAGCUAAGCGUCCGCCGCGUUACACGUGCCCAGCCCUGACCGGCACCGUAUCCCCACGGAAACCUUCCUCUUUGCUCCUCCCGAUGCUUGCCAGGUGCCUGCAUCCGUCUGGGAAACGGGCCUGGAGCCUGCGAUCCCUUCCAGCUCGGCACGGUCCCGGGCGGCCCCUCGGCAAAGCACCGCUGCCGGAGUCCUCCAAACGUGCAGCCACGGGUAAGGCAGCCGUCCUGAAAAAGGCCAAAACGCCGAGUCAAAAAAAGUUAUCCAGGAGCCCUUUCAAAGCCAAAGCUGCAGCCGGGAUCCACCACCACAGAAACACCAGAAGCAAAACUCCACGUCAAGCUAAAAGCCUUGGAAAGGAGCAGAAUCUACAUAUAAAUAACUGACAUUUCUUAAUGAAAACAAAAAUAACUUUCAACUGAUAUUCUAAAGCAACUUUUUAACGCUGAUACUUAAAAAACAAAGCCUUAACAACUGGUCAUUUUCAGGGUAGAUCUCCUUUUUUAAGCACUGGAAAUUAACUUCUUUAAAUGCAACUCCUCCACACUCUAUAUUCAAGUCAGGCAUUUAACAAAGCAAAAUGAUACUUUAAUAACUAUUUUCAUAAUUACAAAUUCCAUUCUCUACACAAGUCCUGUUUUCAAUUAACAUCCUGCAUUAAUGGGUUUAUUUUCCCUGCCAUUAACCUCUAAUGAUAGUUACAGUCAUGUACAGGAAGAGUUUCACAAGUUCAUAACUAGCCUAAGUUUUAAUUUUACCACUAUUUCUGAAGGCGUAUAGUAGUCCACGACCUUUCUUCCUACACAGAAGGUUAUCAGAAGUCUCACGCGAAUCUUUUUCUUAAUUUCUUUUCUAAUACUUACUAAUUGUUUGACACCUGUCACAGAUUAAGUUAUAGAAGGUCAAUUACCCAC
ensembl:lncRNA